AAUGAUAUGCCUGAUAAAAGGAUUAUUUUGAUAGAAUAAAUCAUAUAUUAAAUCACUAAUAUUUUCAUUA
rnacentral:tRNA from 1 species